AUUGAACGCUGGCGGCAUGCCUUACACAUGCAAGUCGAACGGCAGCACGGGAGCAAUCCUGGUGGCGAGUGGCGAACGGGUGAGUAAUAUAUCGGAACGUGCCCAGUCGUGGGGAUAACGUAGCGAAAGCUACGCUAAUACCGCAUACGAUCUAUGGAUGAAAGCGGGGGAUCGCAAGACCUCGCGCGAUUGGAGCGGCCGAUAUCAGAUUAGGUAGUUGGUGAGGUAAAGGGCUCACCAAGCCGACGAUCUGUAGCUGGUCUGGAGAGGACGACA
rnacentral:rRNA from 1 species